GAUGAACGCUGGCGGCGUGCCUAAUACAUGCAAGUCGAGCGAACAGACGAGGAGCUUGCUCCUCUGACGUUAGCGGCGGACGGGUGAGUAACACGUGGAUAACCUACCUAUAAGACUGGGAUAACUUCGGGAAACCGGAGCUAAUACCGGAUAAUAUAUUGAACCGCAUGGUUCAAUAGUGAAAGACGGUUUUGCUGUCACUUAUAGAUGGAUCCGCGCCGCAUUAGCUAGUUGGUAAGGUAACGGCUUACCAAGGCAACGAUGCGUAGCCGACCUGAGAGGGUGAUCGGCCACACUAGAACUGAGACACGGUCCAGACGCCUACGGGAGGCAGCAGUAGGGAAUCUUCCGCAAUGGGCGAAAGCCUGACGGAGCAACGCCGAGUGAGUGAUGAAGGUCUUCGGAUCGUAAAACUCUGUUAUUAGGGAAGAACAAAUGUGUAAGUAACUAUGCACGUCUUGACGGUACCUAAUCAGAAAGCCACGGCUAACUACGUG
rnacentral:rRNA from 1 species